rnacentral:lncRNA from 1 species
AUUUUAUUCAUCUGAUAAUAAUAUAAUAAAACCUCCAAACAUAACAGUUUGGUAGAAAAAAAAGUGAAAUAUGUAUGAAUAUUAUUAUGAUAUUUAAGCAAUAAAAAUAUUUAAUCCAUGCUAAUAACAAAAACAAGAUGUGUAGAGGCUAUUCAUAUUUAGUCUUUUAAAACAAAUUUCUAAUUGUAAAAUUUUGACAAUCAAUACUGUAGAUUUGUAUUAUACUUUUCUUGCUAUAUUUUUUUUAAUGGAAACUGUGAUACAUAUAUGCAUCAUAUGUCCAAUGGUGUGGCAUUAAAGAUAUAUCAAAGAACCAAAAUCCAUCUCCCCUAAAAUCUAAGUCCUUGCUUCCAUUCCCAGACUCCUGAUUCUUUUUUUAAUUUCAUUUUAUUUCAUUGAAAUAUAAGAAAAAUACACACAAUGAAUUAAAAACUAGAAUGUGUCUUAAAGGAAACCAUGCCCAACUCUCAUCAUAUUGCAUAUGUUUUCAUCAUAAUAUAUAUUAUAUGUAACAACUUUGUGGUAAACUACUUUGAACCAAUAUUUCAUCCUAACAUGGAUUGGACAAAUAGACGUCUAAUGGACGGACAGAGAGAAAGACAGACUUGAAAACAUAAUGCCUACUCCAAUCAUCAUUAAAACCAUAACAGGGAAAGAAAACCUACCCAUCAACAGGAUAACAAUUUGACAUUACAAUCAGAAAUAUAUAAAAAUUGAAGUCUUUGAUAAGAUAAAUUGAGAAUGGAAAUGAAGAAUGUGUCAAGAGACAACAAGCAAACCCAAGAGCAGAAAACAGCACAAGGCAAGAAACUAAAAUGACUAAUAUUUAUAAAAUUUAACCGUAUUAAGGUAGAUCAGGUGUCUUCCUUCAUCUUGGAUUGUAAACAAAUAGCAUAAACUAAUAGAUUAGAUCUUCAAUCAAACAGGCAGGUCGAGCACAUGUCUUUUGCCAUCAUGGAUUGUAAAAUAGCAGAACACAAAUGGUAGAGAUCUAAUAUCAAAUUUGCUAGUACUGAGACAGGAAUGCAAAAGAAUUGUUACUUUCUUUUUAAUUAUAUAAAAAGAAAGUUAUGAAAUUCAUUGUAUUAUCACAUGUUUGCCAGAGACCAUUUUUUUUAUAGCCUGAAAGCACAUCAUAAGAACUAUCUUCUCAUAUUUGAUUUUAAACUUCAAUCAUUCAGAUUUUUUCUAUUUAAAACAAAGCUUGUAAAAUAGAUUUGAGAUUCACAGUUUUUCUUAUAUUUGAGAAAAAAUGCUAUGUUACGUAGCAAUUUGGAGAAGUAUACUAAAAUUAGAAUAAAAUUCUGUUAGAAAACUCUAUCAUUCUUUAUCUAGACCCCUUAUCUUUUGAACAAGUACAACUGCCUCAUUUCUUUUCUUUGAGAAAAAAAAUCUAAAAUUAUUUUGAUACAAAUAAUACAUUACUACCACGAAAAUUGAUACAGGAAAUAUUAGAUUAAGCACCAAUUAUAACAAUUAUUAUAUAUUAUAACACUAUCACAGACAAUCUUCAAACAUGUCAUGUAUACAUAAAAUAUCAUUUUCAUUUAAUCACAUAUCUGUUUACAUUUACAAAACAGUGCAGACAUCUAAUGUCAAUUUUAUCUAACCGAAUAGUAUAACUAGUUACAGUCAAGAUUUCUAAAUUCAAUGGCUUCCUUUAAAAGCAGAAAAAUAAUCAAAUUAUCAUAAGCAUUUUAAUUAUACAGUCUUUAAAUUUUGGACAACAUAAGGUCUACAACAAGAAAAAAUAUAUUUUAACAUUCAAUUGAGAUUCCUCUACUAACCAAAACAGAUUUGAAUUGGGCCUUAUGUUUUUUCAUUCAUUGCAAAAAGCAGAAACACAAAUGUUUAUAUGAUGACACAUUAAAAUGUGUGCUGUAUUAUAAAGAAAUAUCAUAAAAAUUGUAUACAUGCAGUAUAUUUAAUACAACUUUUAAAUAACACAAAUACUAUUGCACCUUUUUACUUAUCAUAUUCUUUACAAACACAAAACACUUAACAAUAAAAGUUACAAAUUGAAUUCUAGCUUUAUCAAUCCUAUGUUAAAUCUAUAGAAAUGUUCCCAUUCAGAUUUUUUUAGACAUUGAUCCAGGAUUUGAUGUUAGGAUUACCCCUGAAAAUUAGGAUAACCUUAUUUUGAAUCAUAAUUGACUGUCAGUUACCUUUACGACAGGUGCCUUAUACGGUGCAGGAAAUGCUUACCUUUCAGGAACACCUUAUUUCACUCCCAGUGUUUAGUGGAAUUCGUGUUGUUUCUUAUUCAUUAUUUAUAGCUGUUGAUGUAAAUGUCUUUUGGUUUUAUGAGUCUUUGUUUACUCCUUGGUUUUGAUUGUUAUUGUCUUUAUUACUUACUUUUACUACUAUUUCUAGGGGGGGGGGAGCUGAACUGUGUCUGGUAUGAAUUAUUUGUAUUCACUGAUUUCCAGUUAUUUCAAAUCUACAUAAGAAAUAAUUAAUUAAUAAGUUUUCUAUUAUUGUACAACAAGCAAUAAAUAUACAUAUAAUAAAAUGAUUUGAAAUAUGACUAUUUUAAGAUUCAGUUAAAUGGUUUACAUGUGCAAGAGAGAUUCAGAAAAUAUAUGUUUCAAAUAUGGGUUUCAGAAAAUGUAUGUUUCUCAAAUGUUUUUUUUUAUUAUGAUAUUAAGAAAACAAAAUCCAAAAUAAACAGCAGUUAAAAAAAGCUACCAUAACUACUUCAUUUCAAACUUUUAAAUUAUUGUUCACUUGUCAAAAUUGGAUUUAUAUAGUUUUUGAUAUUUCACUGUGUACCCCACUUCAAACUAUUUGUUAAUAGACAAAAAACCUCUUCACCAGGCCAUUUAGAAAUAUUGAAAUUAUAGAAAUUAUUUAAUAAAUAAAUAUUGACAAUUUACAGAAAAACUAUCAAAUUUAAAGUUGAAAAUCAAAAGUUUAUAUACAUCAACGUGCAUUCCUCAGUUGAUCACAAAACAAGUUCAUCCGAUAUAAGUAUCUACAUUUUUAAUCUUCUUACAUAUUUUCUUUUUGUGAUACAAUCUUAUUGCUUUAGAGGUGAUUCAACUGAAUUUGUUGGUGUGCAUGAAAAAUACCCAAUAAAAUAUGAAAUAUGCAGGAUGUGCUAAAUUGUGUUAUAUACAUGUGUAAAGUCAACAAAACUGAGCAAUAAACCAUGUACUAAUGAAGAUCGAGUCCAGAUGAGCAAGUAUAUAAAAAGUCAUUAUUCAAUUUUUAAAAUAAAGAUUUUGAACAAUAUAUAUUAAGUUAAAUCAAAGCAUUUCAGGUAGUCAUUUCAUUCUUCAAUUUUAAACUAAUUUCAUUUUUUUAUUCUAUAUUUUUUUCUGAUUGUGUUGAAAUACAUAUUUUUAAAACUACUCUUUAAUCACACAUGCU